GAUAUCGCUAUGAAGAAGACAAGUAGUUAUAGAGUUUGUUGUAGAGAACUUAUGGGUGGUGUAAAUAAGUACAAAUGCUAUAAUGAAUACACUUUGGAGCUUCUAAGUGCAAAGCUUAGACGGUGUGUGCAUCGUUAACAAAGAUAAGUGCCUGCUUAGCAGGAAUAAAGGUGGUAACGCGAGAAUUCGUCCUUUGU
rnacentral:ncRNA from 1 species